ACUCCUACGGGAGGCAGCAGUGGGGAAUAUUGCACAAUGGGCGCAAGCCUGAUGCAGCCAUGCCGCGUGUAUGAAGAAGGCCUUCGGGUUGUAAAGUACUUUUCAGCAGUGAGGAAGGUGGGUAUGUUAAUAGCAUAUUCAUUUGACGUUAGCUGCAGAAGAAGCACCGGCUAACUCCGUGCCAGCAGCCGCGGUAAUACGGAGGGUGCGAGCGUUAAUCGGAAUUACUGGGCGUAAAGCGCAUGCAGGUGGUUUGUUAAGUCAGAUGUGAAAGCCCGGGGCUCAACCUCGGAAUUGCAUUUGAAACUGGCAAACUAGAGUACUGUAGAGGGGGGUAGAAUUUCAGGUGUAGCGGUGAAAUGCGUAGAGAUCUGAAGGAAUACCGGUGGCGAAGGCGGCCCCCUGGACAGAUACUGACACUCAGAUGCGAAAGCGUGGGGAGCAAACAGGAUUAGAUCCCCUGGUAGGCUCUG
rnacentral:rRNA from 1 species